CGCACGCAAGCAUACGGUCCCAAUCAGCCCCCAUCUGAUCUGAUUUGAACCACGCGGGACACUUCUGAGAUAUAAUGACAAGUCAUCAGAGCAGUGUGAUCUCAUGGGUGUUGUGGAGAUCUGCAGCUGGUUACUCUAUAACUCUCUAACCACCACGUCCAGCCUAUUUAAAGACGGAGGUUUCGAAAUGCAGGCAAGGCUGCGCUGGCACCACCUCCCCUGUGACCAGUGGGUGCACAUCCACACAGACCGUCUGGGACAUUUGGUUUUACAGUCUGUGAAAACAGCCUUUGUUAAACACAACAUUCCUCACUAGUCACAUUGGUGAGCCGGGCCUUGCACACCUCAAGCCCCCCCCCCCCGUAGCCACUCUCAUGGUCCCAUCCCCUGCCAAGGCAUGACCAUCUAGAGCAGGGAGAGGUCACCUCGCUGCUGACGCCACACACUUGUGUCUGCAGCCUCACACAGGUCUUUCCCUGUAAUGAGCUCCCUCCAAAAUGACCAAAUGACCUUCUGCGGUACACACUGACCUUUUGGAGGCAUACGUGAAGACAAUAAAGACAACGGAGCCUGUUAGUGAGCAUUCAUAUUACUGAACAUGCGUAGAUCUGGUCUCAAUCUUGCAGGUUAGGUAUAUUUUUCUAUAUUCUCCCCAGAAUCUAAUACAGUGUGAAGGCAUGCACAUCAGUGGUAACAGACAUGAGCAUGGCGUUUAGAGAUAAUAAGCUUCACUCGCAAUCUGGUGUUCCCAUGUAUUCACAACCAUUAACACCAAAGAAAAUAGUGUGGGUCAUAACUCUUGCUAUAAAAAAAGUGACUCAGAGAAAAAACAAUUAAUUGACAAGAAAUUAAAGUGCAAAGUGCAUCCAACUGUAGCAAUAAAAAAGAAAACGUGUUGUGAUGGAUUUAGAUCGCCAUCUGCUGGAAUUAAACGAGAGGUCCUUCAAUGUUCAAGUCCAUCUUAAAAUAAUCAUGUCGACAUGAAUAUUAGAAUUAGAGCUGUAACAAUGAAUCCUUUAAUUAAUUAGUUGUCAAAAUUAUCUGACUGCAGCUUCUUUAAUGCAAAUAUUUUAUAUUAAGGGCUUUGCACACAACUGAACAAACAACUAAUUGAUUAAUUGAGAUUAUAAUCCACAAAUUAAUCGACAAUGAAAACAAUAUUUUGUUUUAUCAUUAAAAGUUGUAGUCAUUUCUUCUGUUCAUACCAGCCAUUAGGAGGUUUUUCAUAAUUGAUUAUUUAGAUACAUUUAUCUAAAUAAUCCAUAAAUAUACUGUUUGUGUUGUUGUUAUUAUUAUUACAUUAUAUUUGAUUAAAGCUUUAACAUUUUUAAGUUUCGUCUUUUUAUUUUAUUGCUUUUAAUGAUCUCUUAUUCACUCUUUAUUAUGUUAACUAGAUUUGUGCCAGUGGAGUCCAUUAGUCUCUGAAUCAAAUCACUUUUAAAAACAUAUUGCAUUUUCAUUUGUUUGAAAGAUGCUAUAUAAAUAAUCAUCCAGUGUAAGUGGCCACAGUCCUCCACCUGUGUAAAAAUAAAAUCCAAGUUUUAGAUUGAGCUAAUCAAAAUAAAGAAACAGACAACCAAGUGACUCUUGAAUAUAUUUUUGGAUAGAACGUGUACUGUGGAUUUUGUCAAUAACAUCACUAGCAUAAAGAAAUCUCUUAAGGCCAAACCUGGUUCAGUGUACACACCAAUCUGGAAAAAAUUGGAAGCUGUGCUUCAAGCUUACAGAGCACGGUGGUUGUAGCAGAAAAAAAAAA